AUACGGAAGGUCCGGGCGUUAUCCGGAUUUAUUGGGUUUAAAGGGAGCGCAGGCGGAGAUGCAAGCGUGACGUCAAAUUUCGGGGCUCAACCCCGUCUCGCGUCGCGAACUGCGUCCCUUGGUUGCGGGAAGGGGAGGCGGAGCUCGUGGGGUAGCGGUGAAAUGCAUAGAUAUCACGAAGAACUCCGAUCGCGAAGGCAGCCUUCCGGCCCGUCAACGACGCUCAUGCUCGAAGGUGCGGGUAUCAAACAGGAUUAGAUACCCUGGUAGUCCGCACAGUAAACGAUGGACACCCGCGGUUUGGCCUGUAUGGCUGAGCCGCCAAGCGAAAGCGUUAAGUGUCCCACCUGGGGAGUACGCCGGCAACGGUGAAACUCAAAGGAAUUGACGGG
rnacentral:rRNA from 1 species